CAAUAUAUUGAAUGAUAGAGUUUAUUCUCUCUCACUAUCCCUCUCUCAACUUAUUUUACAAAGAAAAUGCCAGGCUGUUUCGCCGCUGCGUUUUUGCCCUUCUUGGCGUUUUCCGCCGUGGUUUUCCCCGCGGCGGUGGUGCUCUGUGGGUUCCCGGCGACUCUGACUCUCGAAAGAGCUUUUCCGACGAGUCACGGUGUUGAAUUGAGUCGACUCAUAGCUCGUGACAGGUUAAGACACGAUCGAAUCUUGCAGUCUUCUUCCGGUGUUGCUGAUUUUCCAGUCGAAGGCACCUAUGAUCCGUUCCUUGUUGGGCUUUAUUUUACAAGAGUUCAAUUGGGCUCUCCUCCAAAAGAAUUCUAUGUGCAAAUUGAUACUGGAAGUGAUGUCUUGUUGGUCAGUUGCAAUGCCUGCAACGGUUGUCCCACAUCAAGUGGACUCAAAAUCCCUCUCAACUUCUUCAAUGCUUCAAGCUCAUCGACGGCUUCACUGAUCUCUUGUUCGGACCAAAGAUGUUCUCUAGGAGUUCAAUCCUCAGAUUCUGUUUGUUCGACUCAGAACAAUCAGUGCAGUUACGCAUUCCAAUAUGGAGACGGAAGUGGGACAUCCGGGUAUUAUGUAUCAGAUAUGAUGCAUCUCAACACAGUCGUUGGGAAUUCAUUGACUUCUAACACUUCAGCUUCUGUUGUCUUUGGUUGUAGCACAUCACAGACUGGGAACUUGACAAAGUCAGAUAUAGUCGUCGAUGGGAUCUUUGGAUUUGGUCAACAGGGCUUGUCGAUAAUCUCUCAACUUUCUUCACAGGGUAUAACCCCUAAUGCCUUCUCACAUUGCUUGAAGGGGAAUAGUGGCGGUGGUGGUAUCUUGGUUAUUGGUGCGAUCAUGGAGCCAAAUAUAGUUUAUAGUCCACUUGUACCAUCACAGCCGCAUUAUAAUUUGAAUUUGCAAAGCAUUGCUGUCAAUGGGCAGCCAUUAAAUGUGGAUCCCUCGGUGUUUACAACAUCAAGUAACCAAGGAACAAUAGUUGAUUCCGGAACAACUUUAGCAUACCUUGCCGAAGCAGUGUAUGAUCCUUUUGUCAAUGCUAUUACAGCGGCUGUUUCGCAGUCCGUGAGUCCUGUUCUUUCCAAGGGAAAUCAGUGCUAUCUAAUCACAUCCAGUGUGUCUGAUAUAUUUCCAACAGUAAGUUUAAACUUUGCUGGCGGAGCAUCCAUGAUUCUAAAACCUGAGGACUACCUUCUACAGCAAAAUUCCGUUGGUGGUGGUACAUGGUGCAUCGGAUUCCAGAAAAGGCAAGGUCAACAGAUCACAAUUUUAGGAGACCUUGUACUAAAAGACAAGAUUGUUGUUUAUGAUGUGGCUGGCCAACGGAUCGGAUGGGCUAAUUAUGACUGUUCGUCGUCUGUAAAUGUCUCCGCAACCACAAGCAAUGGUCAAAGUGAAUUCGUCAAUGCAGGACAGAUUGGCCAUAGCAGCUCAUCACGAAACACGCCUAGUUUCAAGCUGAUUCCAAGCAUCGUCAUAGCUUUCCUCUUGCAUAUUUCAACUAUUGCCACCAGUUUCUCAUUUUUGUGACACAAAGUGCAAGAGGAUUAAUGUUACAUUACCCUUGGAGCUGGAAGAAAAGGUGCAAUGAUUCAUCCAUGCAUGACGCAAAUUAAAAGAUUAUAAAGUACCAUUGGAGCUGGAAGUACACGAGCAUCAAUGGAUGCUGCCUGCCGCUUUUGAAUGAGAUGUGAAGGCAUAGGUAACAAAAUAGGUAAGGGUAGACCUAAGCAUGAAGAUGUGCAGCUUGGUAGAGCAUUUGUGUUGGCUACAUAUUUUGUACAAGUCAAUUACAAUUCGACGCGUGGCAAAGUAAAGGUAGUACGGGAAGACUAUUCAAAUCUUCGAUCUUGAUCGUACACGUGUCAGUUAAUAUUGGUUGUUACGAGAUCUGAGUAGCAGUGGAUCAGCAGAGAAAUAUAAAGUGAAGUGGCAUCAUCGGUUACUCACAUUUGAAUUCAAAUUCAGGAGGGAAGCCUAACUGCAAGUGAUGGCGUAAUGGAGCUAAUCUUGAGGCCAUGGUUAUCAGAAUCCCGAUCCGGAUCUUACGAUCCUACGAUCUUACGAUCUAUUUGAGCACAAUCGAUCCGGAUCGUGUAAAAAACUCCUUAUAGGUAGGAUCUUUCGAUCCUGGUAGUGGGAUCUUAUAGGAUCGUGGAAUCCCGAUCCGAAUCCGAUCCAAUUUACAAGCCUUAUUUUGUAU